UCAUUCUUAUUUAGAAUAUAGUAUAUGUGAGCAGUCAAACACGUCCCAUGAAAUGAAACGGAGGAAGUAUAAAAUAAUUGUUUAUUGAUUCCACAAAAACAAUUUGAAGAUAUAUACAUUUCAAAGUUUUCAUUAAUUUAUUUUUCAUGCACUAUGGCAUGCGGCGGAAUAUCCAUUAUUGAGUAAAGAAGAGAUCAUUAGAAAAUCUCCAAAUGGCAUACCCAUGGAUCAAUGGGUACUGUUUGUUAAUUAUCGCAUAGAUGAGAAAACCCAGAAACUUUGCAAGAAGAGUCAACAGAUUCGACAAAAUCAAAUUUCUCAUACUGGAGGUGCUAAGAGUUUGGAUAGAAGAAGAGCUGAAAUGAUGGCAAAGGGAAUAGAUAUUGAUCGAGGCAAAAUGUGGACUGAGACUCAUAAGAGAAAAGAUGGAAGUUACGUAACUGAGGCGGCUAGAGAUAUUGGGAUAAGUAUUCUUCUUAUAUAUGAUUACUCGAGUAGCUAUUUAAUCAGAUUUCUGGUUAUGAUUACAUAGCAAAAAAUUACUGCUUCAAUUGUGUCAAACUACUGAAAUUGAGGACCAAAAAGUUGUUGUUUGGCAUAAGAAUACUUAUCAAUAGGUUAAUAGUCUCUUCUUUCAGACCUUUCUUUUUUGGCAACUCUUCUUUCAUCAUACCUAUAUUAGCUACACUUUUGAGUUUAAAACCAAAAAAGGCACAUAAAUGCAUCAAAUAUACUACGUUCUCCUGUAAUGGAAUAUCUGAUCCUCCUGAAGAAAUAAGCACGGUAGAAUCAUGGAGUGAAUUCCCUGCCCUCAUAGUCCCCUCAAAUUGAAGAAGCACAUAACUCAAGUCAAAUUGAAAGGCACAUUUUCUGUCUUGAUGUAUUGUUUGCUUUUUCUGUAUGUGCUUUGCUUCAUCAAUGGCUGGUUAGCACAACUACUGAUGUAUUUGAAAGAGAACAUUGGACCGCUGAGAUCCAACAUGUUCACAAGAUGGUGUCGCAGAGUUGAGAAUAAGAGAAAAUUGAAGAAAUUCGAAGUCAAAGCCAGAAAGUAUUGUCGAAGUUUCACCCAAGGAUGCACUUUGGUAUAGUACUCUGUCCCGAACACCCGGGCCGUGUUCGAGGGUUAGGCUUGAGCGUUGUUCCAACUAUGGCAUUCAAACAGGCAUCUAGAAGAUUUAAGCAUGUUGAUGUGAGUUCAUCCAACACUAGCACUCCAACUCCAGAGUGGCAGCAAAAGGCAACGAGUAUGAAAUCACAAUUAAAUGCGCUACUUAGCUUAUAUCAAAGGAACAUAGGGAAUAUCCCUGAAGAAUUUUCUCACUUAUUUCCACCUCCUCCACAGGAAUUAAAUAUAGAAAGUGGGGCUCAUCAGUCACCAAUGGAACCAAGAACCGAUUAGAAAUUUUAGGAUGGAAACAACAAUGAUGAUGAACUAAGGAACGAUUAGAAAUCAUUUCUAGGAUUUUUUUUGGAUAAUCUUGUUGAAUGACACUUUGAAAUUAGUAUUUGCUGAUGUAAUUUUGGAGUUUUGAAUAACACUUUAGUAUUUUGAUGAUGUAAU